rnacentral:tRNA from 1 species
UGGGGAGUCGCCAAGUGGUAAGGCAUCGGAUUUUGAUUCCGACAUUCGUAGGUUCGAUUUGAGCCCAAUCGCCGGAG